UUGACGCUGGCGGCAGGCUUACACAUGCAUGUCGAGCGGGGAAAGGUAGCUUGCUACUGGACCUAGCGGCGGACGGGUGAGUAAUGCUUAGGAAUCUGCCUAUUAGUGGGGGACAACAUUCCGAAAGGAAUGCUAAUACCGCAUACGUCCUACGGGAGAAAGCAGGGGACCUUCGGGCCUUGCGCUAAUAGAUGAGCCUAAGUCGGAUUAGCUAGUUGGUGGGGUAAAGGCCUACCAAGGCGACGAUCUGUAGCGGGUCUGAGAGGAUGAUCCGCCACACUGGGACUGAGACACGGCCCAGACUCCUACGGGAGGCAGCAGUGGGGAAUAUUGGACAAUGGGGGGAACCCUGAUCCAGCCAUGCCGCGUGUGUGAAGAAGGCCUUAUGGUUGUAAAGCACUUUAAGCGAGGAGGAGGCUACUAGUAUUAAUACUACUGGAUAGUGGACGUUACUCGCACAAUAAGCACCGGCUAACUCUGUGCCAGCAGCCGCGGUAAUACAGAGGGUGCGAGCGUUAAUCGGAUUUACUGAGCGUAAAACGUGCCUACGCGGUCAGUUAAGUCCCAUGUGAUAUCCCCGAGCUUAACUUGUGGAUAGCAUUCCACACUGGGUGGCUAGAAUAUGGGGAGGAUGGCAGAUAGCCCCCGGGGCCCCAAUGCAUGGAACUUGUUGGAGCAAUCCCCACGGGUCCUCUCCUUGUUGUCCCCAUGUUUUCGAACCAGGGUAGUAAGCCAAGGUGCUUCCUGCCCAUGUUCCGCAAAAUACAGCUUGCGUUAGGGGUAUUGCCUCGCCCAACCAG
rnacentral:rRNA from 1 species